rnacentral:rRNA from 1 species
AGCCUGAUGCAGCCAUGCCGCGUGUGUGAAGAAGGCCUUCGGGUUGUAAAGCACUUUCAGUCGUGAGGAAGGUAGUGGUGUUAAUAGCUGUAUCAUUUGACGUUAGCGACAGAAGAAGCACCGGCUAACUCCGUGCCAGCAGCCGCGGUAAUACGGAGGGUGCGAGCGUUAAUCGGAAUUACUGGGCGUAAAGCGCAUGCAGGUGGUUUGUUAAGUCAGAUGUGAAAGCCCGGGGCUCAACCUCGGAAUAGCAUUUGAAACUGGCAGACUAGAGUACUGUAGAGGGGGGUAGAAUUUCAGGUGUAGCGGUGAAAUGCGUAGAGAUCUGAAGGAAUACCGGUGGCGAAGGCGGCCCCCUGGACAGAUACUGACACUCAGAUGCGAAAGCGUGGGGAGCAAACAGGAUUAGAUACCCUGGUAGUCCACGCCGUAAACGAUGUCUACUUGGAGGUUGUGGCCUUGAGCCGUGGCUUUCGGAGCUAACGCGUUAAGUAGACCGCCUGG